GAUGAACGCUGGCGACGUGCCUAACACAUGCAAGUCGAGCGAUUCUCUUCGGAGAAGAGCGGCGGACGGGUGAGUAACGCGUGGGUAACCUGCCCUGUACACACGGAUAACAUACCGAAAGGUAUGCUAAUACGAGAUGAUAUGCUUUUAUCGCAUGGUAGAAGUAUCAAAGCUCCGGCGGUACAGGAUGGACCCGCGUCUGAUUAGCUAGUUGGCAAGGUAACGGCUUACCAAGGCGACGAUCAGUAGCCGACCUGAGAGGGUGAUCGGCCACAUUGGAACUGAGACACGGUCCAAACUCCUACGGGAGGCAGCAGUGGGGAAUAUUGCACAAUGGGCGAAAGCCUGAUGCAGCAACGCCGCGUGAGCGAUGAAGGCCUUCGGUCGUAAGCUCUGUCCUCAAGGAAGAUAAUGACGGUACUUGAGGAGGAAGCCCCGGCGUAACUACGUG
rnacentral:rRNA from 1 species